AAACGGUAGUCCAUUUUCACUACCUUUGCUAAUUAUAUUAGUAAGACGGUGAAUGAAGGCGAUGGCCAUUUUCACUACCUUUGCUAAUUAUAUUAGUAAGACGGUGAAUGAAGGCGAUGAACGAUUCACCGUCUUACUGAAGGCGAUGAACGAUUCACCGCUUUUAUAAGAAAAAUUUUUUCUCACGCCUGCAUGACGAAAGAGGAGUUAGUUUUACAAAUAUAAUUUUAGAAUAAUUAUUUUAUAAAUUUUAAAAUUUAGAAGAUUAAUUUAUAAAAAAAAUACAGU
rnacentral:lncRNA from 1 species